UACGGAGGGUGCAAGCGUUAUCCGGAUUUACUGGGUUUAAAGGGUGCGUAGGCGGGUUGUUAAGUCAGUGGUGAAAGAUUCGAGCUCAACUCGGAAACUGCCAUUGAUACUGACAAUCUUGAAUAUAGUUGAGGUGGGCGGAAUGUGUCAUGUAGCGGUGAAAUGCUUAGAUAUGACACAGAACACCGAAUUGCGAAGGCAGCUUGCUAAACUAUUAUUGACGCUGAGGCACGAAAGCGUGGGGAGCGAACAGG
rnacentral:rRNA from 1 species